rnacentral:lncRNA from 1 species
CCCAGCAGCCUUUCGCGCUCGUAUUCGACUUUUCCGCUUUGCUCGUGUUAAUUGAAAUAGCUGUAUGAAACUGAAGCUAUUGUAAAACGCUAUUUGGUGUACAAAUUUCAAGAUUUUAGCUAUUUAGUAAUAAAUAUAAACUUGCUCUGGUAUAAAUCAGUUCAUUCUUUGAAUAGUAUAUUUAACAAUGUUCUAAUUAAACUUAUUUAAGUUUUGUUUCACGUCUUUCCCAGAGGUCCGUAGGCUUUUAAGGUUUGUUGGAAUCGGAUGUUGGAACAUUGGGUUUAAGGUUACAUUAUUUUAAGAAGGUAAUACCCCGGAUGCAUUUUGAAAUGUUCACUCUUGUUUGAUAAGUAGACGCGGAUUAUGUGCCUUGACGUGUAAAUUCGUUAUUGAAUUUCUAGUACUAAUACCUCCUGAAAAAUGUUCAGCAGAAAAAGUCCACAUCUCGCUUCGCGAGGUUACAGUAUAUACUCGAAUUUGUUCCAAUUGGAAGUGUAACGUAAUCAUCCAAGGGCAAGGGCCAAGUCCAAGAUUCAGGCACAUUUCGAAAUGUUUGAAGAAUUGUUUUUUCCUUCACCGCUAAAGUAUCCUCACACCCGUGCUCACACUGAUGAUGCAUUUCAAAACCAAGACUAUAUAGUAACACGCUGUAUUCACCGAGCCAUAUUCGUUCCCAUAACUAGAAUAUUGGUAUAGCAUAUUUCUUGGUAAUGUGCUGAUAAUGGUGUGAUCUUGAAAUGAAAAGUGUUUUUCAGAAAAACAAGUAAAAUUUCGCGCAGGGUGAAUUCUUUCUAAUUUAACAUGGUUGAAGAGAACUAUUCUGCAAUUUUCUGUACCGGUAUCCAAUAACUGUUAUGAAACUAACUCCAAUGAAACCGCGAGGCAUUUUUGUACACAAUUUAAACUGACAACGUCAAAUGAAACGUCGAAUAUAUUUUUCAAGACAUUCUUCCAAAUUAUGUCAAGUAAUAUAUUCUGAAUUUCUGUCUUUGGUGAAGCAAAGAAAAGGUUUGAGAUAUACGGAGUCGAUGCGUUGGUGAUAAGGGUGAACUUCACCUCAUUUUAGUUCGUAGCCGUAGCCCGUAGGUGCUGGUAUGUCGUCUUUGUUUUUUGUUGGGAUUUAUGAAUUUCAAAUAAAUGUGAAAGUGGUCGUCUUCCAGGCAAUCGACAUUGGCGUUAAAAAGCUGUAUCCACGUACAUACGUCCAUGAACAUGGGAAAUUAGUACGAAUAUAUAUGGUUAUUUAUAUUCCACUGGAGAAGGCUCUGGAGAUCAUUCAUAUAUAUACAGUCCAUUUCAAUACCCCUACAUUCUAAUUAUGUACAUUUUUUACAACAGGUGUAAAAAUAUAUAUUUAAUAUAUUAUACGUUUUUCAACUGAGUCAGUCUUAAAAAACAUUAUUAGGCUCAGCAUAACAUUUAAGUAUGAAAAAUGUUGUUCAAAAAGAACGAAAAAUAUUUAUAUUUCAAAAAUAUUUUAAAAAUGAUAUUAAAAGCCUCAUACAGACGAACUGGUAAGCAAUCUUUCUUUGACAAGAUCUAUUUCUUCAGCAAUUAAGUCUCUGUCGUGCAAUGAAGAGGAAAAAGUUGAGUAGCCAGGGUCUUGACUUGGGGGAGGGAGCAAUCAAUAUUCAAUUCCUGACAACGCUAGGGCCUAGGGGGUCGGGGGCCUGCUUCCUCUGCAGGCCCUCGUUGAGUCAUGGGAAGCUCACGAUUUCGAGAGGGCCUGCGGAAUCUUGGAAAAUGAAUGUUGUUCUAAACCUGCUUCGUUAAAGAAGGCAGUUUUAUCCGUGCAACGUUGGUGUGGACAACAUAUGAUAUGUGAUAUUGAAUAGAAAAUUCCAUUUCCCAAAAGUGCAAUGUAAUACGUUCCAUUGCACUCUUUGCGAGUGCAAUUGUACUAUACGUUUUAUUCCGUUGCACUCUUUGUGCUUUCGAUAAAUCGCAUCCGUCAAAAUGCUUCUCAUACGAAUCUAUUAGUCUAUUUUGGUAUUAUAGAAAACAAAUAAUCAAUGUUUAUUCGUGCAAUGGUAAGAAUAUUUUCAUUCGGUGAAAGAUGGAAUGUUCCAUUCAACUUGGCUGUCGCCUCGUCUUUCACCAUUUUUUACAAGAUUCCGCAGGCCCUCGCCAGAUUGUACAUGACCUUCCUAUUAAAGAUGAUGUACACUCGUGUGCGCAUGUGCGAACUUUGUUUACGUUUUGAACUGCUAUAUUUGUAAAAUAUGAUAUACUAACUGAAUAUCUAACACUUUUCUGGUUCGCCAUGCUUGCAAAUGAAUAUAAACUCUACGUUUCAAUUCAAAAAAGUUCGAAAGAUGCAAAAUUUGGGCAAUGUUUAUAUCUGGGGGUCUCCAUUUGUUAUAAGCAGAACUGAUGCGCAGAACGGAGUGGACAUCAUCUUUAAGCUAAGUUUACACGCUACGAUUUGUCGUGUGCGAUUCGUAUUCUGGCGUAUUAAAAUGAGUGCUGGCGCCAUAAUUCAUUGUCGUUUCGUUAAAAAGAAAUUUCAAAUGUAGCCAGCUUACGCGUGUGGGUGUUUACUCAAUGACACACGCCAGAAAACGAAUCGUACCCGAUUAAUCGUAGCGUGUAAACGUAGCUUGACGCAACGAGGGCCUGCGAAGGAGGCAGGUCGGGGGCAUCCUCCCUCAGAAAUUUUGAAUUUCAAGUGUAUCCAGAACAAAAUUUCCCACAUUUCGAGACGAGUUUUGAUGAAAAAUUGUAUAACCUUUCACAUAUAAUAUUUUAUCGUUAUUCCAGACAUUGUAACCCCCUCUCACUUUUUUGCUCGGAUCUUAACAUUCCACAAGAACAGUUGUUGGAACCAUUCUACAACCGGCAAAUAAAAAGUGUCAAGGAAAAUUGCUCGUCUGUAUGGAGCUUUAUACAAGAGACAAAAUAUGCUAGUAUAACAUUUAAUCGAAGUAACAGGAUUACAUUUUACAGGGUGUCUGCCCAAAAAAUGCACCAGCUGUG